UACGAAGGGGGCUAGCGUUGCUCGGAAUUACUGGGCGUAAAGCGCGCGCAGGCGGCCUUUUAAGUCUGAUGUGAAAGCCCACGGCUCAACCGUGGAAGGUCAUUGGAAACUGAAAGGCUUGAGUACAGAAGAGGAAAGCGGAAUUCCACGUGUAGCGGUGAAAUGCGUAGAGAUGUGGAGGAACACCAGUGGCGAAGGCGGCUUUCUGGUCUGUAACUGACGCUGAGGCGCGAAAGCGUGGGGAGCAAACAGG
rnacentral:rRNA from 1 species